CCUACGGGGAGCAGCAGUGGGGAAUAUUGGACAAUGGGGGGAACCCUGAUCCAGCGACGCCGCGUGAGUGAAGAAGUAUUUCGGUAUGUAAAGCUCUAUCAGCAGGGAAGAAAGAAAUGACGGUACCUGACUAAGAAGCCCCGGCUAACUACGUGCCAGCAGCCGCGGUAAUACGUAGGGGGCACGCGUUAUCCGGAUUUACUGGGUGUAAAGGGAGCGUAGACGGUUAUGCAAGUCUGAAGUGAAAUCCCGGGGCUUAACCCCGGAACUGCUUUGGAAACUGGGCGGCUGGAGUGCAAGAGGGGUAAGCGGAAUUCCUAGUGUAGCGGUGAAAUGCGUAGAUAUUAGGAGGAACACCGGUGGCGAAGGCGGCUUACUGGACUGUAACUGACGUUGAGGCUCGAAAGCGUGGGGAGCAAACAGGAUUAGAUACCCUAGUAGUC
rnacentral:rRNA from 1 species